GGGAUAUAAUUUCUAAUUAGUGGGGUAAUAGCUGCUUGAUCCAAGGAGACAUCUGACUGCUAUUUUGGGGUCAAGAAGGAAAUUUUUCCUAGUUUGUGGCAAAAUUGGAAGCGCUUCAGACUAGAUUUUUUGCCUUCUUUUGGAUCAACAGCAACAACAUAUGUGAGGAAGGCUGAACUUGAUGGACGCAAGUUUCUUUUCAGCUAUGUAACUAUGUAACUAUGUUAUGAGUCAAAUUACACAGCGUGGGGAAAUUCCAAAGAACUUUCCCACGCUGUGUAAAAUGACACAGAGCACUCUGAUUGGCGGAUUUCAAACCAACCAAUCAGAGUGCUGUGACAGGUAAAUGUAGAGACUUACCUGUCAG